rnacentral:rRNA from 1 species
GACGAACGCUGGCGGCGUGCUUAACACAUGCAAGUCGAACGGAAAGGCCCUGCUUUUGUGGGGUGCUCGAGUGGCGAACGGGUGAGUAACACGUGAGUAACCUGCCCUUGACUUUGGGAUAACUUCAGGAAACUGGGGCUAAUACCGGAUAGGAGCUCCUGCUGCAUGGUGGGGGUUGGAAAGUUUCGGCGGUUGGGGAUGGACUCGCGGCUUAUCAGCUUGUUGGUGGGGUAGUGGCUUACCAAGGCUUUGACGGGUAGCCGGCCUGAGAGGGUGACCGGCCACAUUGGGACUGAGAUACGGCCCAGACUCCUACGGGAGGCAGCAGUGGGGAAUAUUGCACAAUGGGAGGAAGCCUGAUGCAGCAACGCCGCGGGCGGGAUGACGGCCUUCGGGUUGUAAACCGCUUUCGCCUGUGACGAAGCGUGAGUGACGGUAAUGGGUAAAGAAGCACCGGCUAACUACGUG